GACGAACGCUGGCGGCGUGCUUAAUACAUGCAAGUCGAACGGACAGGCCCUGCUUUUGUGGGGUGCUCGAGUGGCGAACGGGUGAGUAACACGUGUGUAACCUGCACCUGACUUUGGGAUAACUUCAGGAAACUGGGGCUCAUACCGGAUAGGAGCUCCUGCUGCAUGGUGGGGGUUGGAAAGUUUCGGCGGUUGGGGCUGGACUCGCAGCUUAUCAGCUUGUUGGGGGGGUAGGGGCUUUCCAAGGCUUUGAAGGGUAGCCCGCCUGAGAGGUUAACCGGCGACCAUGGGCCUGAGAGACGGCCCAGACUCCUACGUGACGCAGCAGGGGGGAAUAUUGCACAAUGGGCCGAAGCCUGAUGCAGCAACGCCGCGUGCGUGAUGACGUGCUUCGGGUUGUAAACCGCUUUCGCCGUUGACGAAGCGGGAGUGACGGUAAUGGGUAAAGAAGCACCGGCUAACUACGUG
rnacentral:rRNA from 1 species